AUUGAACGCUGGCGGCAGGCCUAACACAUGCAAGUCGAGCGAGCGGCGGACGGGUGAGCAAUGUAUGGGGACUGCCCGAUAGAGGGGGAUAACUACUGGAAACGGUGGCUAAUACCGCAUACUAUCGGAUAACCCAUAGGGGAUUAGCUAGUAGGUGGGGUAAAGGCUCACAUAGGCGACGAUCUCUAGCUGGUCUGAGAGGAUGAUCGGCCACCCUGGGACUGAGACACGGCCCAGACUCCUACGGAGGCAGCAGUGGGGAAUAUUGCACAAUGGGCGAAAGCCUGAUGCAGCCAUGCCGCGUGUAUGAAGAAGGCCUUAGGGUUGUAAAGUACUUGCAGCAGGGAGGCGUUACCCACAGAAGAAGCACCGGCUAACUCCGUGCCAGCAGCCGCGGUAAUUC
rnacentral:rRNA from 1 species